CUUUGGCAACUCAUAGCUACACUCCUCUGCUCUUCGAAUCAACCAAUCAGAAGCCACCAGGCCCUCGCACAAAGACUGGAGGGCCUUCGACAGACACCUCAGUCGUGCGCAAGUUGGAAAACAGUCAAGACGUGCCGCAGUAACCUCCAAGUUUCCCCCCCCUCCGAACUUCGUAAUCAUGUUCCAAAGCAGUAUGUUUUAUGGGCAACGCAAUGCUGCAUUGGAGACUCAGGAACGUGUACCAUGGGUAGCCCCUGACGACGCUGAAGGAAGUGAUGUCGACGUGAGCCCCUUUGGACAUUGACAGUGAUGAUGACGACCCUACCUACGUUCCUGACGAAGGCCUUACUCAGGACGAUGCCUUUGACCCUCCUAACUCUAGAGCUCGCAAGGUCAAUGUUGUUGUCCCUCAAGCGAUGCCUAUGGAAGAGGAAGGUGAGCCUAACCCUAAGAGGUCUCGUGCUGAUGAAUGGAAGAAGGAAGACAUUGAUAUCCGUGCCCUGCCCAACUUCAUUCAUCAGAAGCCUGACUAUUUGAGGGAACCUUAUGAAUAUUU